rnacentral:rRNA from 1 species
AGAGUUUGAUCAUGGCUCAGGAUGAACGCUAGCGGCAGGCUUAAUACAUGCAAGUCGAGGGGCAGCAUGAGUAGCAAUACUUGAUGGCGACCGGCAAACGGGUGCGGAACACGUACGCAACCUUCCUUUAAGUGGAGAAUAGCUCCCGGAAACGGGAAUUAAUACUCCGUAACAUUAUGAGGUGGCAUCACCUUAUAAUUAUAGAUUUAUCGCUUAAAGAUGGGCGUGCGCCUGAUUAGGUAGUUGGCGGGGUAAUGGCCCACCAAGCCUUCGAUCAGUAACUGGCGUGAGAGCGCGACCAGUCACACGGGCACUGAGACACGGGCCCGACUCCUACGGGAGGCAGCAGUAAGGAAUAUUGGUCAAUGGACGCAAGUCUGAACCAGCCAUGCCGCGUGGAGGAUGAAGGUCCUCUGGAUUGUAAACUUCUUUUAUAUGGGACGAAAAAAGGGUAUUCUUACUCACUUGACGGUACCAUAGGAAUAAGCACCGGCUAACUCCGUGCCAGCAGCCGCGGUAAUACGGAGGGUGCAAGCGUUAUCCGGAUUUACUGGGUUUAAAGGGUGCGUAGGUGGGCAGUUAAGUCAGUGGUGAAAUCUCCGAGCUUAACUCGGAAACUGCCAUUGAUACUAUCUGUCUUGAAUUAUCUGGAGGUGAGCGGAAUAUGUCAUGUAGCGGUGAAAUGCUUAGAUAUGACAUAGAACACCAAUUGCGAAGGCAGCUCACUACGGGUAUAUUGACACUGAGGCACGAAAGCGUGGGGAUCAAACAGGAUUAGAUACCCUAGUAGUCC